rnacentral:lncRNA from 1 species
ACUGUGGAUUAGAAAUUUCUUAUUAAAGUUAGAGUCACUAAUAGACUCCCAUGAGUACAAUUAAAUGUAAAAGAAGUCAGUUGUACAUAUAUAUAUAUAGCCAAAGUGGUAGCUGAUAGGCGAAGACUGGUUAGGAAAAUAAUGAAAGCUGGUUCUUUCAGAAAUGCCACAGUAAGUAGCAUGCAUAUUUCCCUACCAAUCUCCUACAGAGUUAGCAGAUUAUGUGGGACGAAAUAUAUCUUCUGUAUUCCUAGCUGAAAAUUAAUGGAAAAAUAAAUCUGUAAUCAUCACAUAUUAACUUUAAAAAGCAAAUAGUCUUAGUGCUAUGCUAAAUGAAUGUUAGUAUACAGAAUUCAAAUUUAAUGUAUUUUCAAAAUUAGCCUGUCUGUAGUUUUCUACAUAAAAAAUAUUAACAGAAAUGACAUAAAUCAUCAAAUGAUCUUGGUUUUAAUUAAUUUCAAUGAUUCUCUAUAAACAUAUGAUUAUAAAUGCACUGAACCAUCAUUAUAAAAUAAUUUCUAUACCAUGAAGUACCAUGAGGGUUAAGGAUUAAAUAAUAGCCCCAUUAACUGUAUUAAGAUUUAAUAUCUGUAAUUCUCACUUUUGGUCUAUCUAUCAUCUAUCUUCUUGUUAUUUUCUCAGUUCUUUCAAAUAAGACUUUUGUUAUGAAUCAACUAAAAUUCAACUGAAUAAUCACAUCACAUGCAAUUAUGUUUUAUAUAUAACAUAAUAACAUUUUAAUAUUAAUUUGUUUGUAGCUAAAUAAAACACUUAUUUAUUGUCUGUAUCAAUAAGUAUGUUACAAGCUAGGGUUCAAGAAAAAACUUAAGCAUUUCUUUUUAAAAAAAUGUGUGAAUAUGAAGUUAGGUUUUCUCAAUCCCAGAGAAAACAAUGGGAGGAUUCCUUAAGAAAAAUUGUACUUAUAUUAUUAAUCUGACUCAAACAAUGUAAGCAUGAAUAUGUAAUCUAUAAAAGGGUAGCACUGAGUAGUUUUCAUGAAUUUGAACUCCUAACAAAAUCACCCCUAAAAUUCAUAACGCAAAAAAAAAAAAAAAGAUCAAUUCUAAGUCCUCAGCAUAACCUGCUGCCAGUAUUUGAAACAGCUGAUCACUUUAUCCUUCUAGAAAAACUGCUUUUUCCUUGAUUUUGGGGACGAUUUUGGGGACAUUUCCUUUUCAGAUUUUUAACUUACUACCCUGGUAGAUACUUGUCAGAAUUCUUUGAUGGAUCCUGUUAAUUUUCCCAACUGUUAAAUAUCGUUGAUUCCGUGGACACAGUACUUGCUCCCCUAUUCCCUACCAAAGUUCUCACUGACUUCCUUUUAAAGUACCCUGGAAACUGACAGAUUGGUAGCUUCAACCAGAAAAUUCAGGCACAUAUUUACCACAUUCUUAUGAUUUCUUUUUUUCCUGGAUCCACAAAGAUUGAAACUCGCCACAUGGGGGCACAUUCGUUCACCAUAACUGUGACUAAAAUUGGUGACAUUUUAAUUUGCAGGCAAUUACCUCUACAAACACCUCCCUUCAUUAGAAAUAAAAAUUGAGAUGUUCAAAGCAUCUUACAGGUCAAAGAGCUAAGCCAGAUCCUCACUCAAGCACUCAAGAGUUUUUUUUUUUUUUUUUUCCCGAGAAAAACUCUGGAGGAACAAACAACUUUGAACAUUUUCCCACUGAAGUCCUGGCGUUUUGGCGCUGACAGCGUUAACUUCUACACGGAAGCUGCCCCUCCGCCCUCCAGAAGGAAAGAGGACCCGUAUGGGAGCCGCAGAGAAGCACCUAGAACCCUGGGGCCUGAGGGCCGGCUGGAGGCAACACAGGGCUGAACCCCUGUCAGCCUGCCGGGGGACGCGGUGCCCGCCCUCCGGCAUCCGGGAAACACAGCGUCCCAGCCGGCGCCUGCGCAGGUGCCACACUUCCUGGUCCUCUCUGGCUGCGUCUGAGGGCCUUAGCUCUGGCCAGGGGCGCUGCAACGGGCUCAGCCUUCUAGGGGUGGCGGGUGAAGGCCUACACCUGCCCCAGGACGGCCAGGUCCACCAGCACCUGCAACAGACGGAGAACUGAAGGAGCAUCUUGAAGCUGUGGCUGUCUUGAAGGUGUCGCCGCUUGUCCUCACGAGCACCAUUUUGAUUCUCGUGCCCUGUGUGCAUGGGUGGCCAGCGUUGCUGGUAGGGCUCCUGCACGCUCAGAGUGGCCUUGGCCAGGAAGUCCAGGGUUUCCGCAGGCAGAGUGUAUGAACAAGAUGCCACAGACAUGUGAGAAAUGGAACUUUUGACAAGAUCUGUGAAAAGAAUGGUAUUUUAUUGUAUUAGGAUUCUCCAGAGGGACAGAACUGAUCGGAUAUAUGUGUAUAUGAAAAGGAGUUUAUUAGGGAGAAUUGGCUCACAUGAUCAUAAGGCAAAGUCCCACAAUAGGCCAUCUGCAAGCUGAGGAAGGAAGAAACCAGUGGUGGCUCAGUCCCAGUCCAAAAGCCUCAAAAGUAGGGAAGCCGACAAUGCAGCCUUCAGUCUGGCCAAAGGCCCAAAAGCCACUGGCAAACCGCUGGUAUAAAUCCAUGUGUUCAAAGGCAGAAGAACCUGGAGUCUGAUGUCCAAGGGUAGAAGGAAUGGAAAGAAGCAUCCAGCAUGUGAAAAAGGAGAAAGCCAGAAGACUCAGCGAGUGAGAUUAUCCCACCUUCUUCCAUCUGCUGUGUUCUGGCCACACUGGCAGACCACUGGAUGGUGUCCACCCACAUGAGGAUGGGUCUUCCUCUUCCAGUCCACUGACUCAAAUGUCAGUCUCCUCUGGCAACACCCUCACAGACCCACCCAGAAACAAUACUUUACCAGCUGUAUAAGCAUCCUUCAAUCCAAUCAAGUUGACACCUGUUAUUAACCAUCACAUUUAUAUAAUGUGUAUAUAACACAUUUAUAUAACAUAAACUGAUUUCCAUUUAUGAAGCAUAUUACGUGCUUACUACAAAAACAUAAAAAAGAAGAGAAUGUAUAAUUGAAUUCCUAUAAAGGGCAUAGAGGUACCGAAAGAAAUAUCUCCAAUACUUUUAGGAUUCCUUACUAAAUUUUAUCUCUGUUUUUUCUAUGUGAAUUAACUCUUAGAAACUCCUAAUCAUACACGUUGACAUAGCCACUGACAAAUAUCAGGUUUUUUAACCAUAAUACAUCCAACCCCCAAUCUUCUAGUUUUCAAAACAAGUCCUAGAAAUGGCUUUAAUUGGUUUAUUUUAUAACCAUAAAUAUGGUGUACCAUUGAUUACUGUAUCCAGUAAAUUAACACCCCUGAGUUUAGGGGAAGAGCCAUUCCCAAAACACAGAUGGUGUGGCUCCCAGGUGGAGGAAAGCAUCUGGGCAGACAAACCAUCAGCAGGAGCAGGGAUGAAUCUUCUCAGUUUUUGGAUGCAAGUUGUGCUUUCUGAGAGCUUUGUGUGUUGAGAUCAUCACUUAAUGUGCCUCCCAGCAUCUAAUUUUUGUUGUUUUACUAAAAGUACAUUGAUUUCUCUGUGAUGAACUGUUUCUGCCCACGCUAGCUCUACGCACAUCAGAUUAGGCAUCCCUUCACCCUGGAUAGGCAUAAUCCAAAUUGAGGCUCCUUCUAAAAAUGACUGAUUCAAGAUGAGUCAAUUUCCAAGCAGCUAUAUUAGAUGCAGUCUUGAAAUUUGUAAUGAAAAUAUAAAGAAAAAUGGUAUAUCAUUCUACUGGCCAUGAUAGAACAAAAACCUGAACCUACCAGUUGCAACUUUCUCUCCACUUGGAAAGAAAAUGCCUGAAAAUAAAGCAAACUCAGAACAAGUAGAUACUAAGAGUUGAAGAAAAAAAUCUGCAGGCCCAGCUAGCUACUCAGGUGGCUGAGGAGGAAGGCCUUGAGCCUAGUUUGAAUUCAGCUUGGGAAACAUAGCAAGAAUAUCUCUAAAAUAAAAUAAAAUAAUUGAAGAUAAAGAGAUUACUGAUGAUGGUUUUCAAGCAUUUUGACCCAAUCUUUUUAAAGUUUGACUUUUCUGUUGACUUCUUUUUUUUUCUGUUAACCAGUAUGUUUAUAUUUCUGCUUAAGCUAGUUUGAAUUUAAUAUCAUGUUACUUGGAAUUGAGUCCUCACUAAUAAGUGAGGAUGAGGGGAGGUUAUGGUCCAAUUCUCAGAUGAAAAUUUGAGUCUUUAUUGACUGCCUGGAUUUUCUUUUCAUAAGCAAGUAAAGUAGGCAACACGUGAUCCACAAAGACUCACCACUAUGGACUAUAUCAACAACCCUAUCCAACAGAUGAAGGAAAUUGGAUGUAAUAAUAGAGUUGCUUUGGAACUAAGAAUCAGAGAUGAUACUUAGAAUGAAGAGACAGAAGUAACAUGAGGUUGGUACAGCUUCCUUUUUCUUUGUCCAUGACACUCCUAAUUAUUAAGCCAUUUAUUAAGAGUUUGAAAGUACCUCCACAUGAUAUAUACUUGCAGGUAUUCCUGUUUUAUUUUCAUUUCUCUGGUCAAAAUUCCUCUAGUACUAUCUGAAAUAACAGUAUAGGUUAUCCUAGAUAUUUGUGAUAAAAUAUUUAGCUUAUAUUUUUUCAUUUCUUCUACCCGGAAUAGUUUACUUUCUACCUAAACCAGGUUAUAAGGAAGGAAGGAGAAAGAAAGGAAGGAAGAAAGAAAGAAAGAAAGAAAGAAAGAAAGAAGGAAAGAGAAAGAAAAAGAAAAGAAAGAAAGAAGGAAAGAGAAAGAAAGAAAAGACAAGAAAGAAAGAAAAAGAAAGGAAGGAAGGGAAGGGAAGGAAGGAAAGAAAGAAAAGAAAGAAAGAGAAAGAAAGAAAAAGAGAGAAAAGAGAAAAGGAAGGAAGGAAGAAAAGAAAAAAGAAAGGAAAGAAGGAAGGAAGGUAGGAAGGAAGGAAAAGAAGAAGGAAGGAAGGAAGAAAAGAAAAAAAGAGAAAGGAAAGAAGGAAGGAAGGUAGGAAGAAAGGAAAAGAAAGAGAAGAAGGAAGGAAGGAAGGAAAAGACAGAGAAGAAGGAAGGAAGGAGGGAAGGGGAGGGGAGGGAGGGGGAGAGAAAGAAUGGCCUGAAAUUUAAGUCUAAUUCACGGACUGUCUGAAAUUACAAAAGUCACAGGUGUAUUGAAGGGCCAAAAUAAAGAUUUUGUUAAUGUUGAGAACAUGUUGUAUAAAUAUGAUUAUUACCACCACAUAUAUCUUUUACAAAACUAUAGUGUAUCAUAGUGAUUCUGCAGUUUCAAGAUAAAACUGUGAAAUUUCCACUUUAAGCUUUUGUCUGAUUUUUUUUCUUUAAAGAAAGUAUGAAUAUGACUCAAAAGUGAUUAUACUGAUAAAUAUAUACUACAUUCCACUAUGAGCAAUGCUUGUGUGCUAUCCUUUCUUAUAGGUUUGUUAACUGCUCAGGGAACUGAUCUCUCAAUAACUUAUAUUUUACAAUAAUAUAUGUAAAAUAUUGUUUAAUUGUACCACUGAGAAUUGAGGACUUUACCAAUUCCUAAUAUAAGCUUAAUAUAUAAUUAGAAUUUGUUUUCAUUUUUUCUCCUGUACUAUGAGCUGGCUAAAACUAUUGUUCUCACUACUUUUUAUGUUGGAACAUAUUAGUUUGAAACAAUCCCUGAUUUUGUUUUUCAAAAAAGCAAAAGCAAAAGCAACUGAGAUGCUUGGAGUGUGUAAGAAUGCAGUAAAAUGUUCAGUUAGUUGCUAAUCCACUGGAGUUAAGUGCAAUCUCUGGAGGUGCUGAGCAUGAUCUAAUACUGCAGCCUUCUGCCCAAAGAGCAUCAUUACAGUAACAGCCCUGCCAAAUAUUCUCUGCUUUUCACUUACACCUAAUAAUGCUUCUAAAGAUACCCCUUAUAAUGUUACUUAGACAUGCACACAGGUGCUCAUUGAAGACUUUGACUUUAAAAUGAAUGCCAUUUACAAUGGCAACACAUUUGGCAAACAAGUGAAAACUGAAAAAUGCCAAUGAACAGAUUGAAUAAAGUAUUCUGAAUAUGCAUUUAUUUUUUUUUUCUUUUUUGAUGUCAUAUAUUUUGAAAUGGACAGGCUCAUUCAUAUAUAUACAUCCUGCACAUUUUACUUUUCAUAAUCAGAGACAGAAUAUCAUAACUAUCAGUCAUAGGAUCUUUGUGAAUUUAUGCAGAUGGGCUGACUUCUUUGAUAAUUUCUGGUAUCAAAAAGAAGUGUUAGGUUGCUUAUGAUUCCUGAAAAAGUUAUUGCAGCAGCACAAAUUAUAACUCAGUAUUUAAAAAUCAAACAUUUCUUUUUGUCUUUUCUUCUCAUCUCUCUGUUUUCAGGCCCACGUGUUCUUCACAUGGCUCUGAAAACACGGAAAUGAAAAGGAAAGACAAAAAGGAAACUAGUCGGGAUGUCUUCACAAUUACUUAUCACUGCG